UUCAUUGCUGAAGUUCUUCCAGGAACAGCUGAUCACAAGCCAUCUGUAGACUACAGAUGAGGGGACUUCAGGACGCCACAUCAUUAAGAGCCAACUUUCAAAUGCCUGUACAGUGACCCACAACUCACGUAAUCACUACCGUUUUGAAACAGAAAAAGCCAAGGGAAUGGAACUGAGCUCCUUCAAAGUGUUCUUUCGUGAACAUCCACAGUACAAAUUCUAUCCCUCUUCAGCCCCCCAGCCCCGCCCCAUAUUUCACCUCUAAUUGCACCUCCAGAACUGUAGGCUCAAGAACAUAUCUCUUUGGAAAAUCUAUAACAAUCUUAGAAUUAAGAAGAAAAAAGUGAUACAUCCUUUGGAUGCUGUACCAGAUGCUGCGUGGGACCCUCUGGAUGUCAAAAUAAUUGGGCGAGGCUCCUGCUCCCCAGCCACUCACAGUGCAGUUGGCAGGACAUAACUGCCAACAAUUAUUACAAAACAAAGUCACCUGUGACAUAACAGGGUUAAGUGCAGGGUGCCGAGGGAGGCUGGGGAGGGUGACUGACAGCCACUGCCUGGGAGGGUGGACAAAGGCAAUGAUAGAGCUGUUUCUGGAACGAAGACAUCACAGAGUGAUCAGCUUGUGUGGGAAGGAAUGGGGAUGGAAAAGAGGAAGGUGCAGCAUUCAGUGCAGCCGCAGUUAGGUGCGUGUCCAAGAUAAUGGCAGGAGAUGGUCAAGACACACCCACUGGGGAUGGCUGUGAAGGACUCACGUGCCACGCUAUGGAGCAUGGAUAUUUACUGAAGGCCUAUUGUGGGCAGGCCCAGAAAGGCGGGAGAAACAGAAGAGGAAGGGGUGAGGUGCCUAGAACGACAACCUCAGGGUGAAGAGGUGAGACAAGAAGAAAGGCAAAUGGCAGUGCACGUUUCCCGUGACAGUCAAGGCCCUGGUGUUGGGAAACACUGACCCAGUCCAACGGACAAAUGACAACAUGGGACAUCAUGUGACUGGAGCUUCUAAUCAUCUUCCUAACAAAGAACUGCAACGACAAAGGAUCUCCUGUGAGUCAGAUUUUGGUCAAGAAUUUCAGUGCAUCUUGAUGCUGAUUGAGAAUACCGCCUGAAACUGAUCUGAAGUAAUAACAGGCUAGCAACGUAAUCAUCUCUGUGUUGGUCCAUGCUUGAACGAAUGAAUGUAGUGCUGCCUCUCCAUUUUCAGCAGCAGACGACAUCUACAAGAGAAACACACUGCCCUUUGAACUUCAAUGCUACCCUGAAAUACAAUAUAU
rnacentral:lncRNA from 1 species